AUUUCUGCCAUGCAAGAGUGCAGCAAGGGGCACCAUCUAUGAAGCAGAGAGUACCCCUCACCAGACACCAAAUAUGCUGGUGCCUUGAUCUUGGACUUCCCAGCCCCUAGAACUGUCAUAAGACCCCUAUUCUAGGGGUGCCCUCCCUAUACCUGGAGGAAAGACACAUCCUCAUCUCUGAAGACAGAAGAACACGGAGAAGAAUCUGAGUAAGCAGGCCUUGUGCCUCAUCCAUGAACCUAGUAAUGGGUGAAGAAAGAAAUCUUUUCUCCCCGACAGAGACUGCAGUGUGACUGUACUGUGACAAAGCCAGUACUGCCUACCUCCAGCUCCACAUCCAUGGGAAAGGCUCUGCAUCAUUGAUGGCCGAAACCAAAGCUUCAGUAGUGAGAUACGUUGGUUCAGGGCCUGGCCCUAAAUCCUCCCCUGGCUCAGUGUGCCAAUAGACUAGGGGAACAAGGGUGAAACCCACCUCCCAGGCCACAAGGACUACAGGUAGUAGAGACCUUGAUACGACUGAUGAGACUGGGAGUUAAAGCUUGAAGGAAAAUUACAGGGGAUGGGAGCCAAACCACAAAUGUCUGCUACUAUACCACCAUCAUUGAAGGAUAACAACCAUUGACAUGCCGUUGUAUGUAUGUGUAUAAGAAAUUAGAGCAUUCAUGUGCCCCAAAAAAUGUACAACUAUGGUAUAUCCAUUUAAAAAUAUUAGGAAGAAAUUGAAGCAUUUAAAAAUGGAUGUAUAGUCUUCUCUUUUUAUUCUAGAAUGUGCAACAGGCAUCAUGUGAGGAGAAAGUACCUUUAAUUUGGCAAUUAGUACAUAGUCCAAAUAC